CUUGGCGACAAUCGCAUUGUGGCCCCACCCGAUUCCCUGCCGAACUCAGAAGUGAAACACAAUAAGGCCGAUGGUAGUGUUGGGUUUCCCCAUGUGAGAGUAGGACAUCGCCAGGC
rnacentral:rRNA from 1 species